UACGUAGGGGGCAAGCGUUGUCCGGAAUUAUUGGGCGUAAAGAGCGUGUAGGCGGUCCGGUAAGUCGGCUGUGAAAGUCCAGGGCUCAACCCUGGGAUGCCGGUCGAUACUGCCGGACUAGAGUUCGGAAGAGGCGAGUGGAAUUCCCGGUGUAGCGGUGAAAUGCGCAGAUAUCGGGAGGAACACCUAUGGCGAAGGCAGCUCGCUGGGACGUUACUGACGCUGA
rnacentral:rRNA from 1 species